rnacentral:rRNA from 1 species
UUCCGGCCAUAUCAGCCUGAAGGCGCCCGAUCUCGUCUGAUCGCGGAAGCUAAGCAGGGUCGGGCCUGCUUAAAAAAAAAAAAAAAGGUUCUCACUCUUAGCCUCUGCUCCAGCUACAUUAGCUGAUGAGA